CAUUACCGAGUUAUAACAACCCCAACCCUUUGUGAACCUUACCGUCGUUUCCUCGGCGCACUGCUGCGACAACCCCGCAGGCGGCCCUCGCGGCCCCGCGGGCAGCUACUUACCCUGUACGGAUCUACCCUGCAGCAGCUGAAGGCGCAGCGGCGCCGAAAGGACCGCUACAAACUCUUUUAUCCAAGCUACGUCUGAACAAUUUACUAUGCAAAAUAGUUUAAAACUUUCAACAACGGAUCUCUUGGUUCUGGCAUCGAUGAAGAACGCAGCGAAAUGCGAUAAGUAAUGUGAAUUGCAGAAUUCAGUGAAUCAUCGAAUCUUUGAACGCACAUUGCGCCCAUUAGUAUUAUAGUGGGCAUGCCUGUUCGAGCGUCAUUUCAACCCUUAAGCCCUUGUUGCUUAGCGUUGGGAGCCUACGGCACCGUAGCUCCCCAAAGUCAGUGGCGGAGCCGGCUCACACUCUAGACGUAGUAAUUACUCACCUCGCCUAUAGUUGGACCGGUCCCCUGCCGUAAAACGCCCCAGUAUCUAAAAGGUUGACCUCGAAUCAGGUAGGAAUACCCGCUGAACUUAAGCAUAUCAAUAAGCGGAGGAAAAGAAACCAACAGGGAUUGCCCUAGUAACGGCGAGUGAAGCGGCAACAGCUCAAAUUUGAAAUCUGGCUCUUUAGGGCCCGAGUUGUAAUUUGUAGAGGAUGCUUUUGGCGCGGUGCCUUCCGAGUUCCCUGGAACGGGACGCCUUAGAGGGUGAGAGCCCCGUACGGUUGGACACCAAGCCUCUGUAAAGCUCCUUCGACGAGUCGAGUAGUUUGGGAAUGCUGCUCUAAAUGGGAGGUAAAUUUCUUCUAAAGCUAAAUAUUGGCCAGAGACCGAUAGCGCACAAGUAGAGUGAUCGAAAGAUGAAAAGCACUUUGAAAAGAGGGUUAAAUAGCACGUGAAAUUGUUGAAAGGGAAGCGUUUGCGACCAGACCUUUUCCUAGCGGAUCAUCCGGUGUUCUUCGCCGGUGCACUUCGCUAGGUCGAGGCCAGCAUCGGUUUCUGCAGGGGGAUAAAAGCCCAGGGA
rnacentral:rRNA from 1 species